rnacentral:miRNA from 1 species
GAGGGGCUGGAGUUCCUGAGGAA